rnacentral:snRNA from 1 species
GUGAGGGUGAUCUGGCUACGGUAUCUGUCACCCUACAGAUCACCAGGCCGACCCGGCCAAUCUGGCUGGCUAGGCAGUGUCCCCUUCCUCCCUCACUGCUCCACGUGCUUCUCUCCCCCCUCCCCCCACCCCAAGCUGCCCUCAGUUAAGACGACCUGACCAGAAAGAGGAUCGUUUUUUUGGUCAAGGGUAUAAAAGUAACUGCGCUCCCUUGCUGGAACAUCCAGCUCUCAAGGUCCAUUUGUAGAAGAACGUAGAGUAGUCAUGUUUCCAAGACUUCAGACACAUCCAGAUGACGCACUGCGUGUGGCAGUCUCU